UACACCGCACACCAUCUUCAUCUUCAUCUUACUGCUCUUACACCGCACACCAUUCAAGCGGUGUUCUUAUAAACCGCUCACUGCUUAAUCGGAUUCCUUGAACGGAGAAGUACACCGGACGAUUGCAGGUAAACCGGAGACUCCUUGUCCGGUGUUCAUAUAAACCGAUCAUCUCUUGAUCGGAUUGUUCUCCGGUAAGGUUUAUUUGUUGAGCGGUACAUCCUUUCACUGGACAUAUUUCAACCGGUGUUCAUCUACACCGCACAUCACUUGACCGGAUUAGGAUUCUGAUUCAUUCAGUAGGUAAGCUAUCACAAGCGGUUUAUGACUUAGAAUUUGUGCUUCGAAGUUUUUGAGCGGAUUUCUAAUCCGCUUGAUUUUUUUUUAAGAUUUCAAUUUCAAGUUAGGUGAGCGAUUUAACUUCUGAGUUGAGCGAUUUCAGACUUUGUUUCACUGUAAAUAGCAAAAAGGAGCAGCAGCAACAAUUUUUUUUGUUCUGUUUUGAUUUGAAAAAGUAAGUUCUACAGCAGCUUCAUUAUGUGACUGUGUUUUCUGUUACACCGCACACAACACAGCACAAAACAGCACAAAAACUGUGUGCAGUUGCAAACUGUUUAGCUUCACAGAGAAGUAAGAACAGUUUCUGUUUUGGUAACAGCAACAGGGCACAGCAGCAGCAACAUAUUUGUGUUGUGUUUGAUUUGUUGAUUUCAGUUUCAUAGAACAGCAAAACAGCACAGUCAACAGGUCGUUGAAACAGCAACUAUUUUGACAGCUUCAUUUUAUGUGUUUAGACAGUGACAAAAACAGGUUGAAGAUAAACAGCAGCUAUUGUUUAACAGCAACAGAUUUUACACUAUCUGUUUUGGUUUAAGCACUAGCUGUUCAAACAGAAGAAGAAUUCACAGCAGUUUGUGUUUGGACAGCAAUUGUUAUAUGUGUUGUGUUGGUGUUUAAAACAGCAGUUGGUACAGGUUUGAAACAAUUACAGGUAUUGCAAUUUGAAGCUAUUGUGUACACUUAAAUCUGUUUUUGCGCUGUUAUUGUGUACUCUACUAACUGUUUUAACAGCAACGAGAACAGCAACAGACCUCUGUUUACAAAUUUUUGACAACAACUUCAUUUGACAGCAAGAAGAAGACAGCAGCAAAUUUUUGACAGCAACUUCAUUUGACAGCAAGAAGAAGACAGCAGCAAAUUUUUGACAGCAACUAUAUUUUUGACAGCAACUAUAUUUUGACAGCUUCAUUUCAUUUUGACAGCAACUAUGUUUUGACAGCAAAGAACAGCAGCAACAAAUCUCAAACAGCAACUCAAACAGUAGCUAACAGCAGCUGCUACACAGACAUCAACCAGACAGCAGUGAUGUUUAGGUAAUUGUGUUUAUGCAGAUUUGAAACUGCAAGCAUUGCAAAGUCUUUGAACAGCAGUUUCACUUUGUGGUAAACAACAAGUUUUGAGUCUGGAACAGAAGCUAUAUUGACCGAGUUAGUGUGUUAAACAAGUUGCUGUGUAUUUGUGGUUUUGAGGACUGUUUCUUAUUUGUAACAGCAGCAAAUAUCUUGACUGCACUUAACAGCUUCUUUGUAGCUACACAACUGUUCGAGACAAAGAAGGAAAUUGUUUAGAGACUGAUUCGUGAGCCUCUGUUGUUUGAAGAAGUAGUAACAGGUUCAUAACAGCAGAUUCUGUUUUCAAGUGCUCUAGCUCCAUUGAGAAUCUUAAUUGACUGUAACAGCAAAAAGAAGCAAUAGCUGUGUUGAAACAAAUUAGUUGUUCAUCAAGAAUUGAAACAGAAGCUGAAUUUGACUUGGUUGGUUUAGCAACACACAGUAGUUUUAACUGGUUCCAGUUACACAUAUUAGUAACAGAUUUUUUGAAACAGAUUUGACGUAGUGUGUUUUUGG